UGCCAGGAUUUAACAUUGGUUUUGGGAAGC
rnacentral:piRNA from 1 species